rnacentral:rRNA from 1 species
UAGGGAAUCCCUUCGGCAAUGGGGGCAACCCUGACCGAGCAACGCCGCGUGAGUGAAGAAGGUUUUCGGAUCGUAAAGCUCUGUUGUAAGAGAAGAACGUGUGUGAGAGUGGAAAGUUCACACAGUGACGGUAACUUACCAGAAAGGGACGGCUAACUACGUGCCAG